ACCCACACAGCCAUAUGAUGCACCCUCUCCACUAGAUUUUUUUCUUCUUCUUUCUCUGGAAAUAAACUCCUGCAGCGGUGAGCAGCGGCAAGUUUUUUUUCUGGUGCAGGACAAAAAACAGUAAAGGAGGAGGAAGAGGAUGAAAGAAGAAAAAAAAUCUAGUGGAGAAGGUGCAUCAUAUGGCUGUGUGGGU
rnacentral:pre_miRNA from 1 species